ACAGGUCAUAGAUGUUUGGCAUCUUGGAAGAGCUAAUGUUUCAAAGUUCAAGUAGGCUGAACUGAAAGAGAAACUGGCCGGGAUGUAUGAAGUAAAAGACCGGAAUUCUACUUUUGUAUUCAAGUUCCGUACACACUUUGGAGGAGGGAAGUCAACUGGGUUUGGGCUUAUUUAUAACUCAGUUGAGAAUGAGAAGAAGUAGGAGCCUAAGUACUGCCUAAUCACGAAUGGAGUUGAUAUCAAGGUUGAAAAGUGUAGAAAGCAGAUGAAGGAGACUACAUCCAACUGGUGUUACUUUGUGUGCAUGCAGACCAAGGGUGGUGAUGGUGGCAUGAAGAAAUGAGAUGUGAUAGAUUAUGUAUAAGCUAGUGUUUCUUGCAGCAAUAUUAUUAAGCUCCUAGUCAUUUACCUCCAUUUCUUUUACCAUUAUCUACUGAACUUCAAGUGAGAUGCUGAGUUCCUUCGGAGAUUUUGAGACAGAAAUUCACUUUAUGUAGAAAAACUGUUAUAUAGUUUAUCAAAACGUGGUUCAUGCGCCAUUUUUUUUUGGUUUUUUUGGUCAGAGUUCAUGCACCAAAUUGAUGUGCGCAGUAUAAAGUAGAUUGCUGCAAGAUUUGAUUUUUGUAUUUUGUUUUGUUGUAGCCUUAAAAGUGUCCUUGCUCGGCAGAAGUGAGCGUUCCCAACUGCCCACGUAGAUUCCAAACGCUAUGUACCUAAAAUAGAAAGUAAAAAGUAGUUUUUUUAUAUAUAAAAAAAAG